AGUGAACGCUGGCGGCGUGCCUAAUACAUGCAAGUCGAACGGAGUGGCGCACGGGUGAGUAAUAUAUAGCUAAUCUGCCCCUUGCUGGAGGACAACAGUUAGAAAUGACUGCUAAUACUCCAUAGCAUGGGAUGAGACUAUAUCGUAUCAGAUCGUCGGUGUGUUAACGGCCUACCGAGGCUAUGACGCGUAACUGGUCUGAGAGGAUGAUCAGUCACAUUGGAACUAAGAAACGGUACAAACGCCUACGGGAGGAAGCAGUAGGGAAUAGUGCGCAGUGGGGGGAGCCAUGACGGAGCAAGGCCGGGUGGAGGAUGACACUUUUCGGAGCGUAAAGUCCUUUUGUAAGGGAAGCGGUACCUAACGAGUAAGCACCGGCUAACUCCGUGCCAGCAGCCGCGGUAAUAC
rnacentral:rRNA from 1 species